rnacentral:tRNA from 1 species
GAGGGUGUAGCUUAGUGGUAGAGUACAUGCCUAGCAUGCACAAGGGCCUGGGUUCAAUCCCUGGUAUCUCCA